rnacentral:rRNA from 1 species
UUUUUGAAAUAAUUUAAAGUCUAAUCUGCCCACUGAUGUAAUAUUAAAGGGCUGCAGUAUUUUGACUGUACAAAGGUAGCAUAAUCAUUAGUCUUUUAAUUGAUGACUGGUAUGAAAGAUUGGACGAAAUAUAUUCUGUCUCUAAUUAAUUGAUAAAAUUUAAUUUUUUAGUAAAAAAGCUAAAAUGAUUUUAAAAGACGAGAAGACCCUAUAGAGUUUAAUAAUUUAUUUAAUUAUUAUUAAUAUUUAAAUUUUAAAAUUAAAAUUAAUUAAAUUAUUUUGUUGGGGUGAUAGAAAAAUUAAAUUAACUUUUUUUAUAAUUAGUUUAACAUUAAUUUAUGAUUAUAUGAUCCAUUUUUAGUGAUUAAAAGAAAAAAUUACCUUAGGGAUAACAGCGUAAUUUUUUUUUUUAGUUCAAAUAGGAAGAAAAGUUUGCGACCUCGAUGUUGGAUUAAGAUAAAAUUUAAAUGCAAAAGUUUAAAAUUUUGAUCUGUUCGAUCAUUAAAAUCUUACA